rnacentral:rRNA from 1 species
ACGAAGGCAGCAGUGGGGAAUAUUGCACAAUGGGCGAAAGCCUGAUGCAGCGACGCCGCGUGAGCGAAGAAGUAUUUCGGUAUGUAAAGCUCUAUCAGCAGGGAAGAUAAUGACGGUACCUGACUAAGAAGCACCGGCUAAAUACGUGCCAGCAGCCGCGGUAAUACGUAUGGUGCAAGCGUUAUCCGGAUUUACUGGGUGUAAAGGGAGCGUAGGCGGUUUUACAAGUCUGAUGUGAAAGCCCGGGGCUCAACUCCGGUAUUGCAUUGGAAACUGUAGAACUAGAGUGUCGGAGGGGUAAGUGGAAUUCCUAGUGUAGCGGUGAAAUGCGUAGAUAUUAGGAGGAACACCAGUGGCGAAGGCGGCUUACUGGACGAUUACUGACGCUGAGGCUCGAAAGCGUGGGGAGCAAACAGGAUUAGAUACCCUGGUA